GCGGAAGUGGCGGAACUGGCAGACGCGCACGGUUCAGGUCCGUGUGGGAGCAAUCCCUUGGGGGUUCAACUCCCCCCUUCCGCACCA
rnacentral:tRNA from 1 species